rnacentral:rRNA from 1 species
UACGUAGGGCGCAAGCGUUGUCCGGAAUUAUUGGGCGUAAAGAGCUCGUAGGCGGUUUGUCGCGUCUGCUGUGAAAACCUAAGGCUCAACCUUGGGCUUGCAGUGGGUACGGGCAGACUAGAGUGCGGUAGGGGGUGACUGGAAUUCCUGGUGUAGCGGUGGAAUGCGCAGAUAUCAGGAGGAACACCGAUGGCGAAAGGCAGGUCACUGGG